GUAGGCAGCGAGCGUUGUUCGGAGUUACUGGGCGUAAAGGGUGUGUAGGCGGUUCUCUAAGUUUGGUGUGAAAUCUCCCGGCUCAACCGGGAGGGUGCGCCGAAAACUGGAGGGCUAGAGUGCGGGAAGGGAGAGUAGAAUUCCUGGUGUAGCGGUGAAAUGCGUAGAUAUCAGGAGGAAUACCGGUGGUGUAGACGGCUCUCUGGACCGCGACUGACGCUGAGACACGAAAGCGUGGGUAGCAAACAGGAUUAGAUACCCUGGUAGUCCACGCCCUAAACGAUGCAUAUUUGGUGUAGGUCAUUCAGUUGAUCUGUGCCGGAGCUAACGCGUUAAAUAUGCCGCCUGGGGAGUACAGUCGCAAGGCUG
rnacentral:rRNA from 1 species